rnacentral:rRNA from 1 species
UACGGGGGGAGCAAGCGUUGUUCGGAUUUACUGGGCGUAAAGGGCGCGUAGGCGGCGUGACAAGUCACUUGUGAAAUCUCCGGGCUUAACCCGGAGCGGCCAAGUGAUACUGUCGUGCUAGAGUGCGGAAGGGGCUACUGGAAUUCUCGGUGUAGCGGUGAAAUGCGUAGAUAUCGAGAGGAACACCUGCGGCGAGGGCGGGAUAGCUGGGCCGACACUGACGCUGAGGAGCGAAAGCCAGGGGAGCAAACGGG